rfam:Musa acuminata subsp. malaccensis Doubled-haploid Pahang (DH-Pahang) genomic chromosome, chr1
ACCAAUUCCGGGGGAUGGUGGUGUUCCUCUCGGUAUAAUGGCUCGGGCGCUAGAGUUAAUGUAAAGUGUGGUCAUCCUGAUUAGUGGCUUGAUUCCGGUGCCAUUUUAAUCCUGGAAACGCCACGUACACAU